UACGUAGGGGGCAAGCGUUAUCCGGAUUUACUGGGUGUAAAGGGAGCGUAGACGGCGAUGCAAGCCAGAUGUGAAAGCCCGGGGCUCAACCCUGGGACUGCAUUUGGAACUGUAUAGCUAGAGUGUCGGAGAGGCAGGCGGAAUUCCUAGUGUAGCGGUGAAAUGCGUAGAUAUUAGGAGGAACACCAGUGGCGAAGGCGGCCUGCUGGACGAUGACUGACGUUGAGGCUCGAAAGCGUGGGGAGCAAACAGG
rnacentral:rRNA from 1 species